rnacentral:rRNA from 1 species
GAUGAACGCUAGCUACAGGCUUAACACAUGCAAGUCGAGGGGCAGCACUAGGUAGCAAUACUGAGGUGGCGACCGGCGCACGGGUGCGUAACGCGUAUCCAACCUUCCCCGUUACUCUUGGAUAGCCUUCCGAAAGGGAGAUUAAUACCUGAUGGUGUUUGAAUUCCGCAUGUUAUUCAAACUAAAGAUUUAUCGGUAACGGAUGGGGAUGCGUGACAUUAGGUAGAUGGCGGGGUAACGCCCACCAUGCCUACGAUGUCUAGGGGUUCUGAGAGGAAGGUCCCCCACACUGGAACUGAGACACGGUCCAGACUCCUACGGGAGGCAGCAGUGAGGAAUAUUGGUCAAUGGUCGGAAGACUGAACCAGCCAAGUAGCGUGAAGGAUGAAGGUUCUAUGGAUUGUAAACUUCUUUUAUACGGGAAUAAAACCACCUACGUGUAGGUGCUUGUAUGUACCGUAUGAAUAAGCAUCGGCUAACUCCGUG